UACGGAGGGUGCAAGCGUUAUCCGGAUUCACUGGGUUUAAAGGGUGCGUAGGCGGGUAAGUAAGUCCGUGGUGAAAUCUCUGAGCUUAACUCAGAAACUGCCGUGGAUACUAUUUGUCUUGAAUAUUGUGGAGGUGAGCGGAAUAUGUCAUGUAGCGGUGAAAUGCUUAGAUAUGACAUAGAACACCAAUUGCGAAGGCAGCUCACUACACAAUUAUUGACGCUGAGGCACGAAAGCGUGGGGAUCAAACAGG
rnacentral:rRNA from 1 species